rnacentral:lncRNA from 1 species
CUGUAUCUACACUUCCUCGAUCUAAUACCUAAUCACAUUCCAGCAAAACAAUCAAACCUCAUGCCUCUUAAUCAAUCCACAAAAUAGACAGAGACAAAUCAAAAAUAAAACAGAGGAUAUGUAUUUUGAAAUUGACGAUGAAGAAGGAAAGAAUCUACCUGGUUCAUGCCUCUUAAUCAAUCCACCUAAAGACAAAAAAACACCAACAUAUCAAAACAAAUCAGAGAUGAUUUUGAAAGAUUCACGAAGAUGAAUCAAAGACAUGGAUGCUUGAAAGAUUGAAACAUAAACAUAUAGGAGCCUCAGAUUUACCUUUUCGAUUCACCUCAGCCACAAGCGAGGCUGUUGUUGCCCGUCUCAGAGAGCCACCGAUAGAGCGAGAGGUCGGCGUUUUCCUUGGUCGAUGACAGCCACCGAUGGAAAGGUCUCUGUUUCCCUUCGUCACCGAGACUCUCCGAUAGAGCCGUCGCCGUUUCGUCGACUAGAGGCGCCGAGACGACAGAAUCGUCUUUCAAAUCGCCAUCGCCUUUUGUUUCGCGAAGGAGAG